rnacentral:misc_RNA from 1 species
UAUCCGUAGGUGAACCUGCGGAGGGAUCAUUACAGAGUUCAUGCCCUACCGGGUAGAUCUCCCACCCUAUGUUAUUAUUACUUUGUUGCUUUGGCGGGCCGUUAGGCUCCGGCCCGACUACCGGCCCCGGCUGGUAAGCGCCCGCCAGAGGACCCAAAACCCUGAAUAUUAGUGUCGUCUGAGUACUAUAUAAUAGUUAAAACUUUCAACAACGGAUCUCUUGGUUCUGGCAUCGAUGAAGACGCAGC